AACGAACGCUGGCGGCGCGCCUAAUACAUGCAAGUCGAGCGAGAAGGUGUAGCAAUACACUUGUAAAGCGGCGAACGGGUGAGGAAUACAUGGGUAAUCUACCAUCGAGUGGGGAAUAACCAACCGAAAGGUUGGCUAAUACCGCGUACGCCUCCGAGUCUUCGGGUUCGGAGGGAAAGCUGCACUGUGAGUGUAGCGCUCUUUGAUGAGCUCAUGUCCUAUCAGCUUGUUGGUAGGGUAACGGCCUACCAAGGCUUUGACGGGUAGCUGGUCUGAGAGGACGAUCAGCCACACUGGCACUGCGACACGGGCCAGACUCCUACGGGAGGCAGCAGUAAGGAAUAUUGCGCAAUGGGCGAAAGCCUGACGCAGCGACGCCGCGUGGGGGAUGAAGGUCUUCGGAUUGUAAACCCUUUCGGAGGGAAGAUGGAACGAGCAAUCGUUCGGACGGUACCUCCAGAAGCAGCCACGGCCAACUUCGUGCCAGCAGCCG
rnacentral:rRNA from 1 species